GGCGCCCCCGUGUCGAUCCCCUAGGACUCUGGUGGGGCGCGGUGGGGGCGGAGUCUGUUGCCAGGGCAACCCGGGGUGGCGGGCCCUGGGUCCAUCUUUCCUUUUUUUUCCGGUUCGCUCCGUGUGCUCGGCUUUCCUCACUCCGGUUGCCAGAAGAAUGCACACACCACGUCACCGUUCUGCAUCCUCUUCUCUCCUUAGUUUGCUUGUUUCUCCAAGGUCUGAAUCUCUCCCUGCGCGAUCAGAUUGGCCUCUGUCAUUUCCCCGGCUUACUCGCGUCCCGGAUGCCUCCAGCCAGUCUUGAUGCCUUGGCCUGUGUGAUAGGCAGUCUCUCGGAUUUCUCCUUUAGGUCCACACUUCCCAAGCGAGGAGUUUGUACUUCCCUUUCCUGCCGAUGAGCGGCCACGGCUGGAUUCUGAGCCGGACCUGUUUUUUGGAGAGAUUGAUCUGGCGCCGGUGGGGACACAGCCAAAGGCAGGGAGGCCACCUGGGAAGCCCCUAGAGAUAACGGUGGCCCAAAUGAAGACAACACAGUGGGAAUUGCUGGGGCGGGGAUGCCAGGAAGAGGCAGAGAGAAGCCUAGGGAAUGCAGAGUCUGGGAUGGCUGGCGGUCCUGAGGAGGGACACACAGAGAUGAGGAUCUGACGUCACUCUUCUGCGUGUGGAUAUCCAGUUUUCCCAGCACCGUUUGUCAAAAAGAUUAUCCUUCCAUCAGGGAAAGUUGCCCAUGGGUCUUGGCACCCUUGUUGAAAAUCCACUGGCCACGUAUGUGAGGGUUUAUUUCUGGGCUCUCUAUUCUAUUCCAUCGUCCACAUGCCUGUCCUUAGGCCAGUACCACACCGUUUCGAUUACUAUAACUUUGUCCAGACUCGUUCUUCAUCCAUCCUGCCCCCUUGCCCCCAACGCCUUCCCUGCCCUUUCAGGGUCUCCUGAUCCUUCCUCUCCUCCAGAAUGAUUUCUUCCACUCCCCUCAUGUUGCUCUCCCCUUCCUUGUCCCCAGAUCUUCAAGGGGCACCUUGAAGGAUUCUCCCCCUUGAUCUCUCCCUUUCUCUCACUCUGCAAACCCACUCUGUCAAUCAUCCAAUGGGCUCUGCCUCCACACUAUACUCCAAACCCAUCCUCCUCUCUCCGUCUCCACUGUUACCACGUGUGUCUGACCAUUGUCAUCUUUCUCUAGAACACUGCGCUACCUACUGAUGGGACCCCCUAUUUUUACUCUUGUCCCUGCCACACAGUAACCAAAGUCAUCUCCUUUUUUCCCGUUUUUAUUGUUUUCAGUUUCUUUACUUUGGGGGAGAGAGAGAAUUCCAAGCAGGCUCCACACUGUCAGCGCAGAGACUGAUGUGGGGCUCAAACUCACUAACCACGAGAUCAUGACCUGAGUCAAGAUGACAAGUUGGACACUCAACCCACUGAGCCACCCAGGAGUCCCUCCCCCCUCCCCUUUUAAAUAUUUUAUGUGUAUUCAAGCAUUCCACAGAAUGGCCAACAAGCUCUUGAGAAGAUGCUCACUGCCCCUAGUCAUCGUGGAGAGAUAAAUUAACACUAAAAUGAAUGCACACCCACGUUGACAAAGACGGAAAGCAGUUGGAACUCUUAGUUACUGCUGGCAGGAGUAUCAAAUAAGAGAGCCACGUUGGAAAACUGGGGACCUCCAGUAAAAUUCAAUUGGUGCUGUUACAGGUUUGGGCUCUCCAGGAAGCACAUUCUGAGCUAAAGAUUAAUAUUUAUCGGCGGAGUGCUCUUGGGAUCAGCACUUAGGGAAAGGAAGGAAGCACGAUUGUGGAGGAAAACUAGGGUGUCAUGCUGUCUCAGUGGGGGCCUCAGCCAACCCUGGGGGGUUUGAAACCGCCGUGAUGAUUUAGCAUUGAAAAAAAUGAAUUUUUAUCCCCCAGCAUCUUUAUGGUAGCGCACUAUCUCCAAUCAUUAACCUUGCUCCUCCCACACUGCAAAAUAUUUUAGAUAUCAUUCCAUAUUGAUAUACAGCUUCCUCGGUUUUUUGUUACAUUUUGUUUUUAGGACUGUAUGGAGUAUUCCUUUGAAGGGCCAGACCGUAAUUUAUUUAUUUUUUUAAUGUUUAUUUAUUUUUGAGACAGAGAGAGACAGAGCAUGAACAGG